AGAUUAUUCAAAAUAUUUUCAUGUAGCUAUCCUAAUAAGAGCGUGCUUCUCUUCUCUCCGCUUCUCUGAUCUGUCUCCCAUGUCUCUUUCUGUUUCUAAUUUUACAUUUUCUCAACUUUUUUAGGCGUUUAUCACCUUCAAUCUCAUCUGGGUCUCUUCUAUUUUAUGCUGAUUCCUUUUCCAAUUUCUAGGGUUUUCUGCUUUUCCCCUUGCGGCUCAUUCUUCAACUUGUUUGCCUUUUAUAACCUUCAAUCCCUAACUGGGUCUUCCCUUCUCUUGUGCUUCUCUUGUUAGGGAUAGUUUAAUUUCACAUACUGUUCACUUGUUUCCAUAGCUGGGUACUCUUAGAUCUCAAAUUUCCUUUCUGGGUAUCAACAUUUUCGCUAUUUCACUACUGUUCUGCUUCAUAUAGUUCUUAAUUGUCACUCGAUGUCACAAGGUUAUGCAAUUGAACUCUAUUUCGAUCCAGCCCUUGAAAAUCAGGUCUUGAAGGCCUGGAACGUGCUAGCUCGACGUCAAAUCAGCACCCAUCUCAUCGAAAUCGAGUCACGCCCUCACAUAACCCUCUAUUCUAGCUCGUUUGCUGAGCCUACAAAGCUUGAAUCAAUUGUCAAGAACUUUGCCUCAAAGCAGGAGCCAUUAUCCUUAUCUCUCUCUGCAAUUGGGGGUCUCCCAAAUGAUAACAAUGUCCUCUUUUUAGCCCCUACGCCUUCACUUUCACUUCUUCAAUUUCAUUCUCAAUUGUAUGAUGCAUUGAAGAAGGAAGGGAUUGAGAUUACUGAAGAUUACCGCCCUGACUCCUGGAUUCCUUAUUGUGCAGUGGCUCAAGAUGUGCCAAAGGCGAGGAUAGGAGAGGCAUUUUGUGUUUUGAGAGACUUGAAGUUGCCUGUUACAGGGUAUGCAAUGGAUAUUGGGUUGGUAGAGUUCUCACCGGUUCGUGAAUUAUUCUCAUUUGUCCUUGGCAAUUCAGUAGAAGGAUGAGGUCCGCAUGAUGGGAUUCUGCAGGAUCUGAAGCAGCGUGAUUAUUAAUGUGAUAUUACCCCUGAACCAAAUCGUAGACUUUAAACUAGCCAUCUAUAAGAGCAGAGGAAUUUUCUCUGCUUCAUGGUUUUGCUCACCACUUAAGUGAGACAUACAUCCCUCCUGAAAUUGGCAUUGUUGGCGCCAUUCAAUUAUGGAGGCUAUUUGGUCCUGGGUUUGAUACCAAGGACGUGACAUUAUCUGUUAAAGAACUUAAAAUCCAAAUCCAAAAAUCCCAAUUACCAAAUCACCCUGCUGGUGUCAUUUCGCUUAUAGAAAGCUUGGUUUGGUUGUGGGUCAGAACAUUGUGAACCGAUCACCAAGAAAUCCCAACCACCACAUCAACUGAAUUCGCUUUUCAUCUUAUCUGGGUAUAUUUUUUGGUUGUCGUGGAAUUGACCGGCUGGAAGCCAUUUUCCUUUGCCCUGGUUAUACUUGAUAGCAAUUGCCAACAUGUACCAACGUUGUCUAUAUUGUUAUUGGUAUUGUUAGUUGAUUUUACAGGCUACCGUGCAUUGUCUAAUACACUUACCAUUUAUUUUGAUUCUAUUUAAGGUAA